rnacentral:rRNA from 1 species
CCCUUAGAUGUUCUGGGCCGCACGCGUGCUACACUGAGUGGAUCAGCGGGUCAGGUUGCGCGAAAGCGUUUCCUAAUCUUUAAAUCCGCUCGUGAUGGGGAUUGACGGUUGCAAUUUUCUGUCAUGAACGAGGAAUACCUUGUAAGCGCGGGUCAUCAUCCCGCGCUGAAUACGUCCCUGCCCUUUGUACACACCGCCCGUCGCUCCUACCGAUUGAAUGCUCGGGUGAGCCAUUCGGACUUUCAUCAUGCUGGUUUCCAGUUUUGAUGAAGGAAAGUCUUGCGAACCUUAUCAUUUAGAGGAAGGAGAAGUCGUAACA